rnacentral:rRNA from 1 species
GGUUAAGCGAAUAAGCGUACACGGUGGAUGCCUAGGCAAUCAGAGGCGAUGAAGGACGUGCUAAUCUGCGAUAAGCGUCGGUAAGGUGAUAUGAACCGUUAUACCCGACGAUUUCCGAAUGGGGAAACCCAAUAUCCAAUGGAUAUUAUCAUUAACUGAAUACAUAGGUUAAUGAAGCGAACCGGGAGAACUGAAACAUCUCAGUACCCCGAGGAAAAGAAAUCAACCGAGAUUCCCCUAGUAGCGGCGAGCGAACGGGGAACAGCCCAGAGUCUUAAUCAACAGCAGCAUCAGGAGAACGGUCUGGAAAGUCCGGCAGUAAAGGGUGAUAGCCCCGUAUCCGAAGAUGCUGUUAUUGUGAACUCGACGAGUAGGGCGGGACACGUGUUAUCCUGUCUGAAUAUGGGGGGACCAUCCUCCAAGGCUAAAUACUCCUGAUUGACCGAUAGUGAACCAGUACCGUGAGGGAAAGGCGAAAAGAACCCCGGCGAGGGGAGUGAAAAAGAACCUGAAACCGUGUACGUACAAGCAGUAGGAGCCCCACCACUAAGCUAGUGGUGAACUCACAGCGAUUCUUUUGCAUGAUAAAGAGCGGUAGACGACGCGAAGUGACGUCCAACCAAUCCAAUCAGGCAGAGGAGGCUUAGUGGUGGGGUGACUGCGUACCUUUUGUAUAAUGGGUCAGCGACUUAUAUUCUGUAGCAAGGUUAACCGAAUAGGGGAGCCG